rnacentral:rRNA from 1 species
AUACGGAGGGUGCAAGCGUUACUCGGAAUCACUGGGCGUAAAGCGCGCGCAGGCGGCCUGAUAAGUUGGAUGUGAAAGCCUACGGCUCAACCGUAGAACUGCAUCCAAAACUGUCAGGCUAGAGUGUGGGAGAGGAAGAUGGAAUUAGUUGUGUAGGGGUAAAAUCCGUAGAGAUAACUAGGAAUACCAAAAGCGAAGGCGAUCUUCUGGAACAGUACUGACGCUGAGGCGCGAAAGCGUGGGGAGCAAACAGGAUUAGAUACCCCUGUAGUCC